AAUCUGAAAGUUCUAGACGCACUCUUUCUAAUAUAUUCUCGCCUACUCUUUCUACCCAAAACUUUUACUUUACUAUACAAACUACUUCUUUCAAAUCUCUUUUCCUGUCGAAUAACCUUGAGAAAGUUGCAGGCAGUUGAUGUUAUGGUGCGAAAAGAUGUUGGGUUUCCACUUGAUGGAGAAGAAACGAAACAUUGAGAAACUCUGAUGUAGAAGUUACCAUAGAAUUUGAUUUCUCUACUGAUAAUUAAGUUCGAACUCAAGAUGGAGGUUGGAUGAAGAAUUUUAUGAGGAUAAGCAAGUGAUGAGCUAAUCAAAGGCUAAAUCCAGCUGAGAAGAGAAGUUUGUUGCAGUGAAGGACAUACCAAAACAAAUGGAUGUCAAUAUUAUGUGUUAGGAAUGGAAAUUACGACCAGGCCUUGGAUUUAGAAGCCUUUAUUUGCAAAUUGUCUAAAAUGCAUCUAAAGCUACCUGUUGUGAUUCAGGCACUAGCAGCGGAAGUUGCGCAUACAACCCAAUCUCUUCUUUCUCAGCUUCUCCAAAAACUUCGGUCUACUAUCCCAGUACUAUUUUGUUAUCAUAAGAAACACAAUUACACAAGCAUUGCCCGAAUGUCUUCGUAUAAUUGGACAUUAAGCCGAAUAUGAGUAGUAUUUAGUGUGCCUUAAAUGUGUUUACAGCUUGCAAACAUUAUCGAUGACUUAGACCAGAGAAAUGCUUCUGACUACUCAAAAGGGAUGGUGAACUGUUUCAGAAUACAUCUAUUUGACGUUGUUAAUCAAUAUUAUAUACUUUACUUGGGUAUUGUAAGUUGUGCAAAUACUCUUUAGAACUGGAGAAGGGAUCUGUCGAUUGCAUAAGUGAUGAUGUUACUGAGAUUUGGUUAGUUUGAUGGAAAGUUGGAUUAGGCUUGGUCAAAAGAGUUUGAUUCAGUGGUUGAUUUGCUUAGAUUUAGCUUCUUAUAGAACAAGAAACAUAAAGUUUGGAUCUUUGCAU